rnacentral:lncRNA from 1 species
GAGAAAGGCACCCAGUAGUGUAGUCUUACUCAGUAUAUGUAUCAUCACAACUGGACCAGUAAGAUAUCCACAGUGGUAGAACAGUGGCACUUUUAUCGUGGUGGUAAUCACCAACUGUCUAAUUAGACUUAAAGGCCCACUCAGCAGGAGGGAAGUCAUGCUUGGUACUAUAAACCUACUUAGUCAUCUCCUUGUGGCUGGGAAGUCCUAGAGGAGAAUCUACCUUUGCCAACAUAAUGUUUGUUUACUAAACCAAUAUAGAGUCUUUUUUUUCUAAAUAUCUACCCUGAUACCCACAGAUAUAAGUAUGUACUCACUUAUCAAAGAAGCUCUGGGGUUUUUUGUUGUUGUAGUUGUUUUUGUUUUUUGCAACAGAUGGUCACCAUAACAUAGAUACACAUGUAAAGGAAAUGCAGAUAACAAAUGACUGUGUGGUACCCAACCCCAACUGAUAGAUCUGCAAUGCAAGCUCUAAACCCAGAGCUUAGGAAAAGCCAUGCAAGAGGGAGUAGAAACAGUGUAAAGUCAGAUGGUCAGGAUACCCAUUGAUAGAUUGUGCCCCCUAGACAUAAUAGGGGAAAGCCAUCCAUCAAGUCUCAGCAAUAUGACUGCCUGAACAAGGUCAAUGUCAGAAAUGGCAAUAGGAGUUGACAUACCAAUCCAGACAGGUCAAAUUCCACAUGAUUCCACCCACCCCUAGAGGAAGAGCUAUAGGAGGUCAAUGGCUUCUGAGGAAGGGAGAAUGAGUUGUCUUCAGGGACAAACUCCCACACAGCUUGUCCCAUUUCAAGUGGCUAGUCCUAGACACAUCCACACAAAGCUAAAUAGACUCAGAAGGAUACACACACACACACACACACACACACACACACACACGCACACACAUGCGCGCGCGCGCAUCUGUCAACAUAUACACAAAAAAAUACAGAUAUGCAAUUUUCUAUUCGGGGUCUUCCUAAGUCGGGUCCACGCAGGAGAGUGCGUGGGUAACAGAAGCAACAGAGCUUCUUGGACGGGGUCCCUUCCAGCCUUCAUCCUCAGCCAGGAAGUGGACCUGAUCUGAUCCUCAGUCCUCUGUAUACCUUCCCUGCCAGAGGAGAAAUGACCUCCAGGGAGUGCUCUGACCCCAGGACUCAAGUGUGAUCUCUAUUUUUCUAUCCAGGACCUCUCUGAGUCAGGUCUGCCAAGGAGAGCUCACUGGCCACAGAAGCAACAGAGCUUCUAGGACAGGGUCUCUUUGGGUCUUCAUCCACAUCCAGGAGGCAGAGAUGAUCCUGAGAGCUCUGUGCACCUUCCCCGCCAGAGGGGAGAUUGCCUACAGGGAGUGCUCUGACCCCCAGGACUCUGGAGAGAGCUGGUCUCCCAGGAGUUCUGACAGAGGCUAACAGACUCACAGGAGGAACAAGCUCCAGCCAGAGACAGCUAGAACAUCUAACAAAAGAGAUUACCAGAUGAUGAAAGGCAAAUAUAAGAAUUUUACUAACAGAAACCAAGACCACUCCGCACCAUCAGAACCAAGUACUCCUACAGUAGCAAGUCCUGGAUACCCCAACACACCAGAAAAGCAAGAUUUGGAUUUAAAAUCAUAUCUCAUGAUGCUGGUAGAGGAUUUUAAGUAGGACAUUAAUAGCUCCCUUAAAAAAAUACAGGAGAACACAGCUAAACAGGUAGACGUUCUUACAAAGGAAACAUAAAAAUACCUUAAAGAAUUACAGGAAAACACAACCAAACAGGUGAAAGAAUUGAACAAAACUAUUCAAGAUCUAACAAUGGAAGUAGAAACACUAUAGAAAAUUCAAAGGUAGACAACCCUGGAGAUAGAAAUCCUAGGAAAGAAAUCAGGAACCAUAGAUGUGAGCAUCAGCAACAAAAUACAAGAUAUGGGUGAGAGAAUCUCAGAUGCAGAAGAUUCCACAGAAAACAUGGACAAAACAAUC